CCAGACUCCUACGGGAGGCAGCAGUAGGGAAUCUUCGGCAAUGGACGAAAGUCUGACCGAGCAACGCCGCGUGAGUGAAGAAGGUUUUCGGAUCGUAAAACUCUGUUGGUAGAGAAGAACGUUGGUGAGAGUGGAAAGCUCAUCAAGUGACGGUAACUACCCAGAAAGGGACGGCUAACUACGUGCCAGCAGCCGCGGUAAUACGUAGGUCCCGAGCGUUGUCCGGAUUUAUUGGGCGUAAAGCGAGCGCAGGUGGUUUAUUAAGUCUGGUGUAAAAGGCAGUGGCUCAACCAUUGUAUGCAUUGGAAACUGGUAGACUUGGGUGCAGGAGAGGAGAGUGGAAUUCCAUGUGUAGCGGUGAAAUGCGUAGAUAUAUGGAGGAACACCGGUGGCGAAAGCGGCUCUCUGGCCUGUAACUGACACUGAGGCUCGAAAGCGUGGGGAGCAAACAGGAUUAGAUACCCUGGUAGUCCACGCCGUAAACGAUGAGUGCUAGAUGUAGGGAGCUAUAAGUUCUCUGUAUCGCAGCUAACGCAAUAAGCACUCCGCCUGGGGAGUACGACCGCAAGGUUGAAACUCAAAGGAAUUGACGGGGGCCCGCACAAG
rnacentral:rRNA from 1 species